rnacentral:rRNA from 3 species
CGGUGGCGAUGCGCUUAGGGGUAACACCCGUUCCCAUCCCGAACACGAUGGUUAAGACCUAAGCGGCCGAUGGUACUUUACUGGAGACGGUACGGGAGAGUAGGUGGCUGCCGGAUU